rnacentral:rRNA from 1 species
GACGAACGCUGGCGGCGUGCCUAACACAUGCAAGUCGAGCGAUGAAGUUCUUCGGAACGGAUUAGCGGCGGACGGGUGAGUAACACGUGGGUAACCUGCCUUGUAGAGGGGGAUAGCCUUCCGAAAGGAAGAUUAAUACCGCAUAACAUCUUUUUAUCGCAUGGUAGAAAGAUCAAAGGAGUAAUCCGCUACAAGAUGGACCCGCGGCGCAUUAGCUAGUUGGUGAGGUAACGGCUCACCAAGGCGACGAUGCGUAGCCGACCUGAGAGGGUGAUCGGCCACAUUGGAACUGAGACACGGUCCAGACUCCUACGGGAGGCAGCAGUGGGGAAUAUUGCGCAAUGGGGGAAACCCUGACGCAGCAACGCCGCGUGAAUGAAGAAGGCCUUAGGGUUGUAAAGUUCUGUUUACGGGGACGAUAAUGACGGUACCCGUGGAGGAAGCCACGGCUAACUACGUGCCAGCAGCAGCCGCAG